GCCGGGGUGGCGGAAUUGGCAGACGCGCGGGACUCAAAAUCCCGUGCCCUGAGAAGGGCGUGUGGGUUCGACUCCCACCCUCGGCACCA
rnacentral:tRNA from 1 species